UACGGAGGGAGCUAGCGUUAUUCGGAAUUACUCGGCGUAAAGCGCACGUAGGCGGCUUUGUAAGUAAGAGGUGAAAGCCCAGAGCUCAACUCCGGAACUGCCUUUAAGACUGCAUCGCUUGAAUCCAGGAGAGGUGAGUGGAAUUCCGAGUGUAGAGGUGAAAUUCGUAGAUAUUCGGAAGAACACCAGUGGCGAAGGCGGCUCACUGGACUGGUAUUGACGCUGAGGUGCGAAAGCGUGGGGAGCAAACAGG
rnacentral:rRNA from 1 species